rnacentral:rRNA from 1 species
AUCAGUGGCGAACGGGUGAGUAACACGUGAGCAAUCUGCCCUUGACUCUGGGAUAACUGCGGGAAACUGUAGCUAAUACCGGAUAUUACCUUGGAAGGCAUCUUCUGGGGUGGAAAGAAUUUUGGUCAAGGAUGAGCUCGCGGCCUAUCAGCUAGUUGGUGAGGUAAUGGCUCACCAAGGCAUCGAUCAGUAGCUGGUCUGAGAGGACGACCAGCCACACUGGAACUGAGACACGGUCCAGACUCCUACGGGAGGCAGCAGUGGGGAAUUUUGGACAAUGGGCGAAAGCCUGAUCCAGCAAUGCCGCGUGAGUGAAGAAGGCCUUCGGGUUGUAAAGCUCUUUUGUCAGGGAAGAAACGGUGCGGGCUAAUAUCCUGCACUAAUGACGGUACCUGAAGAAUAAGCACCGGCUAACUACGUGCCAGCAGCCGCGGUAAUACGUAGGGUGCAAGCGUUAAUCGGAAUUACUGGGCGUAAAGCGUGCGCAG